UUGACUGGGUAACUUACGUGGA
rnacentral:siRNA from 1 species